rnacentral:miRNA from 1 species
CCUCCUUCCUGCUUUUUUUC